AGUGAACGCUGGCGGUAGGCCUAACACAUGCAAGUCGAACGGCAGCACAGUAAGAGCUUGCUCUUACGGGUGGCGAGUGGCGGACGGGUGAGGAAUACAUCGGAAUCUACUUUUUCGUGGGGGAUAACGUAGGGAAACUUACGCUAAUACCGCAUACGACCUACGUGUGAAAGCAGGGGAUCUUCGGACCUUGCGCGAUUGAAUGAGCCGAUGUCGGAUUAGCUAGUUGGCGGGGUAAAGGCCCACCAAGGCGACGAUCCGUAGCUGGUCUGAGAGGAUGAUCAGCCACACUGGAACUGAGACACGGUCCAGACUCCUACGGGAGGCAGCAGUGGGGAAUAUUGGACAAUGGGCGGAAGCCUGAUCCAGCCAUACCGCGUGGGUGAAGAAGGCCUUCGGGUUGUAAAGCCCUUUUGUUGGGAAAGAAAAGCAGCAGGUUAAUACCACGCUGUUCUGACGGUACCCAAAGAAUAAGCACCGGCUAACUUCGUG
rnacentral:rRNA from 1 species